rnacentral:rRNA from 1 species
CAGGUCUAGAGAUUAGUAUUUUUCCCUUUUAGGGCAUCGGAUACAGGUGUGCAUGGUUGUCGUCAGCUCGUGUCGUGAGAUGUUGGGUUAAGUCCCGCAAGAGCGCAACCCCUAUUGUUAGUUGCCAUCAUUAAGUUGGGCACUCUAGCGAGACUGCCAGUAAUAAACUGGAGGAAGGUGGGGAUGACGUCAAAUCAUCAUGCCCCUUAUGACCUGGGCUACACACGUGCUACAAUGGGAAGUACAACGAGUUGCGAGGCGGUGACGCCAAGCUAAUCUCUUAAAGCUUCUCUCAGUUCGGAUUGUAGGCUGCAACUCGCCUACAUGAAGUCGGAAUCGCUAGUAAUCGCGGAUCAGCACGCCGCGGUGAAUACGUUCCCGGGCCUUGUACACACCGCCCGUCACACCACGAGAGUUUGUAACACCCGAAGUCGGUGAGGUAACCGUAAGGAGCCAACCGCCUAAGGUGGGAUAGAUGAUUGGGGUGAAGUCGUAACAAGGUAAGCGUAGAUGA